rnacentral:rRNA from 1 species
GACGAACGCUGGCGGCGUGCUUAACACAUGCAAGUCGAACGAAGUGGCGAACGGGUGAGUAACGCGUAAUCAACCUGCCCUUCAGAGGGGGACAACAGUUGGAAACGACUGCUAAUACCGCAUACUGAAGGAGGGGAUGGCGGCUGAUGAGCUAGUUGGAGGGGUAACGGCCCACCAAGGCGAUGAUCAGUAGCCGGUCUGAGAUGAUGAACGGCCACAUUGGGACUGGGACACGGCCCAGACUCCUACGGGAGGAAGCAGUGGGGAAUCUUCCGAAAUGGACGAAAGUCUGACGGAGCAACGCCGCGUGAGUGAUGACGGCCUUCGGGUUGUAAAGCUCUGUUAAGCGGGACGCGGUACCGGAAUAGAAAGCCACGGCUAACUACGUGCCAGCAGCCGCGGUAAUUC